rnacentral:misc_RNA from 1 species
GAAUUGGACUAUAAUGAGACAUUUUCUCUGGUGGCCAAGAUUGUCUGUGGCGAGACUGUUGUCAGAUAUUAUCCAACUGAAGUUGAUAGAUGGACACUGAUUCGGAUAGCGAUUUAUUAAGUGAUUUGCCUCAAAGUAUCAUAGAAAGCAUCCUCGUAAAAGUUCCAUUAGUCGAUGCUGUAAGGACAAGCAUAUUGUCAAGAAAAUGGAGAUACAAGUGGGCAGCCAUUACAGAACUUGUUUUUAAUGACACAUGUCUGACUUCUGGCCAUGACAAAUCAAUUAUCAGUUGCAAUCUUGUAAAUUUCAUUACCCGUUGCCUGUUUCUUCAUGACGGACCGAUUCACAAGUUUGAAUUGAAUACUUCCUACUCGCCAGCUUCUCCUGAUUUAGAUCAGUGGCUACUUUUCCUUUCUCGUAAAGAUAUCAAAGAGUUGAUUAUUGAUAUAGGAGAAGAUGACUGG